UCUUGGUGAGGCUCUCAUGAUUGUGCCUUCUUUAGGCAUGGACAAGGACGUGUCGGGUGUUGAGGCAGAGAUCGAUGACCAACCUAUUGAGGCUGUAGAGCCGAGUCUGUUGAAGACUAUGGGUGGCCCCUCCGAUGUAGAGCCACUUUUGGAUACAUUAGAAUUUUGGCUUGUCAGUGCUGUAGUCUGGGCCGAGGCUUCAGAAUUGCUUGCUGAGCUAGGGUCGGAUGCAUCUAGUCAUGAGGCAACUUCUUGGGAUGCUAUAGAGAUCGCUAGCCAAUAUGCCAUGGUUGAGUCCUCAUCCGUUGCCAUCAUCGAAGUCUCGGAUGUGGUGGACAAGACGUCUUGAAUUGCUAGU
rnacentral:lncRNA from 1 species